AGACCAAGUUUAAGAGUCAAUUUUGGCCCAUUAAUGUAAAAAAGAUAGUAUGCAAUUAAUUGACUAACCUUAUAUAAUCUAUAUAAGUAAAAGAUUAUAUCUUCCAAUUCAAGUUCUUAUGUCUUCAAAUUGGUAAUGUUUCAAAAAUAGAGAUGAUGGAUUGGUUUAUAUAAAGAUUUAAAUAUAUGAUCCAAUGAGAGGUGGAAUUAAAGAUCUACAAAUAUUUGAGGAAGCUAUUAGGAUUGCAAAGUAGGCUGAUAUUAUAGAUUUCAAAAACUAUGGAACAUGACGUUGUCGUAUUACGUGCUUUCCUGCUCGAGAACGCGCCAGGCGUUUGGCUAUAGAAGGUAGUAUGGAGAUUCGCUAAUAUUCAAGCAGUCUAUCGGUU
rnacentral:lncRNA from 1 species